rnacentral:rRNA from 1 species
AACGCGAAGAACCUUACCUGGAUUUGACAUCUCCUGACAACCCUAGAGAUAGGGCUUCUGUAGCAAUACAGCAGGAAGACAGGUGCUGCAUGGCUGUCGUCAGCUCGUGUGGUGACAUGUUGGGUUAAGUCCCGCAACGAGCGCAACCCUUGUCCUUAGUUGCCAGCAUUCAGUUGGGCUCUCUAAGGAGACUGCCGUGGUUAACACGGAGGAAGGUGGGGAUGACGUCAAGUCCUCAUGGCCUUUAUAUCCAGGGCGACACACGUGAUACAAUGGACGGUACAGAGGGAAGCCAAGAGGCAACUCGGAGCUAAUCUCAAAAAGCCGUUCUCAGUUCGGAUUGGAGUCUGCAACUCGACUCCAUGAAGUUGGAAUCGCUAGUAAUCGCGGAUCAGCACGCCGCGGUGAAUACGUUCCCGGGCCUUGUACACACCGCAUAC